AUACUUACUAUUGCGGGGAUACCAUGAUCACAAAGGUGGUCUUUCCAGGGCGAGCAUUAUCUGUUACACUUCAGAUCCUGACCCCUGUUAUUUUCUUAAAUGUGGGAAACUUGCCUGCAUAAUUUGUAGUAUUGGGAACUGGGUUGGCUCUCCACCCUA